rnacentral:misc_RNA from 1 species
CUGAUGUAAGACUACCGGUAUAUGUACUUGCGGAGCUGGAGGAAAGGAGACAAUAUCGAAAAAUGGCCCUUCCUUCUGUUGGUAAUCCUGGUGGUUUUUCUGGUGACAGAACUCUUUUCGUUGGUUCCAAGGUACCACAUGAAAUAAAAUCUAUGGUAAAAUUACUAAAGAGUUCAGAUAAAUCAACGUUUAGGGAGCUUCUGAAAGCGGCUGUAUCUUCAUUUGAAGGUACGAUCAUCAAUGAAGAUUUUAUCCCAAACUUGUCAAAUGAGUGUGGUCAAUCAAGUGAUGCAUUGUCUAUCAUUUAUUCUGGGAUCUUGACACUACUGCGUGCAGCAUACAGACUUCCCCUGACAUCGUUAAAACAAGAGCUCUUCAAAGCAGACUUAUCAGAACUCAAAAUUCCACCAGAAUAUGUUGCAGACUUUGCAAGUGCAGUGUAUGGACCAAAGAGAACAGCCAUUAAUGAUGCACUAGAGAGGGGCAGAGUAAGGUUUCCCAAACUUGAUAAUUUCAGGUGGAGGGUAGAUGUUGCCAUAUCAACAAGUGCACUGAGUCGGUCAUUGGAACCUACUAUCAUGGCUGAGAUGACAUUGAGUGAUGGUAGAAUUCAAUCAUUUGAGAUUCCUGUUUCCAAGUUCCAUGAGCUGAGAUACAAUGUAGCAUCACUGAUGAAGGAGAUGGAAGACCUUGAAAAGAAGAAUAUCUUAAAGAUUCAGGACUGAAAUCAAGAAUUUUAUUUCAAAGAGACUAUUUUUAUACUUCCAGAUAUUUUGAUUAUGCCGACUGAUUUUCGCUUCCUGUUGCUACUGCAAGGUUCCAGUCUUGAAGGAGGUUAUAGCCACUUGGUCUACUAAUGCAUGAUCCAAUUAUUGUGUUCCAAAUAUAAUGGUACCCAUGUGGUGUAAUACAAGUUGGUCCAAUACAAGGUUGUUUUUUUUUAAACUGUCUUGGCUAAACCCAUAUGGUCAAUCAUUAGUUUGGUGUAAUUGUUGUUAAAUCAAUCUAGAAGAUAUGGGAGACUGUGCCUUUGCCUUGUGGUUGCACGCACUGCUUCACAUGUUUCAGCCACUUAAAACAAAAUUUGAUAAAUUCUACAGGUCUUGCAAAGAUUUUAUCUGUUAGUGGUUUGUUUAAUCAGAUAGACCAAGUGGCAUUUGACCAAGUGGCAUUUGACCAAGUGAGCAUUAGGCAAACUUGGCAUGGUCUGACUGAAUAUUGGACCAAGUGAUAGAUAUACUCACAGGCUUACAUGGUUUGAUGAAUUGGAUGUUGGCUGAGUGGUAUUAUUGCAGUUAAAAGGAUGAGAUCAAAUGGGCAUAGGCCACAUUAGGAUGGAUUACACCAAGAGUGCUGCCCUCUUGUGUCUAAUGGUGUCACAGGUUAUGAUGUCCCCUGGAAGAGGGAUAGAUUCAAAUGGAGUGGGUUGUAAUGAUUAAAAGGGAAAGCCAAUAAUUGUAGUAUGGUAUUAUAUGAAAAUAUUCUAUAAAGAAGAGAUAUUAGAGGAACUGAAUGGUGAAAUUAAAUACUAAAAAUAUAUUAUUUUUGUUCACAUGACGUGUGAUUGUCUGGAAAGCAUUUCAAAAAGUCAUAAUAGAUGUAUUUUUUGAGAAAGAUUAUUAAACUAUUAAAGCAACUCUUAAGAAUAUUUGAUGUGAGCUAGUGUCAAACAUGAUAUUUUCUCACUCAGAUGAUGUACUCUCCCUUUCAUAAUAUUUCCAGUAUGUAAAAUAUGAAUAUUGAUUUACCUACCUGGUAACUGAAUUUUGUGUAAUGCUACUAAGUACUAUUAAAGUAGAGAUUUCCCUUUGCCAUAAAUUGAACAAUGUAAGUGCUCUUUUAGACGUAAUAUUCCUAAGACAUUGAGCCUCCCAUGGUCUUGAUCAAGCUCAAAAUUCUUUUCUUUGGAUACAGAAAUUUGUGAUGCUUACUUACACUGUAUAUGCUGAUAGUACAUUAUCUGUAUGCAAUAUUAUGUGUUGAUUAAUUGAUUGUUUUUCCAUUCUCUUUAAAAAAAUCAAACAAUGUAAAUCUUUAUGCAAAUAUUACAAUGCAAGCAGUGAUACACAAAGAAUGUUCAUUUUAGGGGAGAUUUAAAAUGGCAAAGGAGAAGUAUGAUAUGACUUUGUAAAAUAAAAUUUUUCACAAAAGUAUAUAAUUCAUAUUGAUAUUUUUGAAUAUAGAUUACAUAUCUCAAGUUACAGGGAGUUAAAAAACAUCUAACAACAUAUGCUCCAUUUUGACAUUUCUGAUGUAAAAUUUAACCAAAUAUCUCCUUGUGAUUUCAUUAAAAGAGAUGAUCUAUCACUCACAAUCACUCAUCAGCCAUAUGAGUGCAUGUGCCUCAAUCUUUAUCAGCUUCCUUUUUUUAAAGCAAGAUUCAUGAAGUCUAUAUCAAAUUAUCAUCUUUGAUUUGGAUUUGAUAUGUCCCAUCAUUUAGAAUUCCCUGUAAAUCAUCUUAUUAAACAAUGUUAGUAUAUGGAAUAUAACAUUUUUGUAUCAAGUGUAUCAUACAUCCAGAUUACAUAAUAAAGUAUUAAGUGUAAAAAACA